AACCAAAGCAUUCAUUAAAUUACCCACCAUUGACCUUCCACACUUCUCAGGAGAUUAUCACAAUUGGCUCGAAUACAGAGACACUUUUGAAUCACUCAUACACAACAACAAAUCAAUAGAUAGUAUUCAAAAGUUUCAUUAUUUGCGUGCAUCUCUGCAAGGUGAAGCUUCCGAUGUUAUUAAAUCGUUAGAAAUGUCAUCAAACAAUUACAGGGUAGCUUGGGAACUGAUCACAGAAAGAUAUAAUAACACACAUCAGCUGAUCUACAAUCAUCUUCACGCAUUAUUCAACAUACAAAACAUUGAAAAGGAAUCAGCAACAUCACUCAGACAAUUACUAGAUACAGUAAAUAAAAAUCUCAGAGCUCUUAAUACACUAGGCGAACCCACAGUAGAUUCAAUGUUGAUUUAUCUUAUUACCUCCAAAUUAGAUAUCACAACACUCAGAUAUUGGAAAGAAUCAAUCAAUAACGACACAGCAGAAAAGCCCACACUUCAAAAUUUAAAAACAUAUCUCAGUGAUCGUUUCAUGCUUUUACAAAAUCUCGAAGACACAAAAACCUCACAACAAACCGAUUCAAAAUCGCAUUCAUUAAAAUCAGAUACUAAAGAUAAACAAUCUCGCAUUUCUUGUCCCCUAUGUAAAGGUCAUCAUUUUCUAUUCGGUUGUUCACAAUUCAAACAAAUGACUGUGGAAAAGAGAAUAGAGAAGGUUUCCAAGUUUUCCAACUUCUGUGCUAACUGUUUGCAUAACGGUCAUGAAACAAAGUCAUGCCGUGGAGGAACAUGUAAAUAUUGUCAACAGAAACACAACACAAUGCUACACAUUCAUAAGGGACCGACCAAAGACACUGUGCACACCACACUCGCUAGUAACAGUAGCUCACAAUCACAACACGCAUCAGUUUUACUUUCCACUGCCUUAGUGCAUGUCAUCGCUAGUGAUGGAACACCACACUUAGCCAGGGUUUUGCUGGACAGUGGAAGUACCUCCUGUUACAUUACAAACAGUCUGAGUAAAAAGCUUAAUCUUACAUUCGAACCCAUUCACGGCACAGUUUCAGGCAUAAAUCAGCAGCAAACAAACAUUUUUUAUCGCACAAAUAUUCAGAUAAAAUCAUUACAUGGUUCAUUCACAACUAACUUAUCAUGUUUGGUACUUGAUACAAUAGCACAGUCAUUACCUUACAUGCGCAUCAAUACACAAGGUUUAAAUAUACCUAAACAUUUAAAACUAGCCGACCCUCAGUUCUAUGCACCCGCAGCAGUUGACAUAUUGCUAGGUGCAGACAUAUUUUGGCAAAUAAUUAGCAGCGGUCACAUUCGAUUAGGCAAAAACCAGCCUACUUUACAAGAAACUGAAUUAGGCUGGCUAGUUUCCGGUUGCACAACAAGCACCGACAAGCAAGCAAACAGUUGUUUUUUCAAUAACAACAACUCAGAUCAGUUAUCACGCUUCUGGGAGCUAGAUAGUUUAACUAAUACACAAGUAAACGAUCCUUCCGACUCAGAUGCAUGCGAGAUAAUUUUCACUCAAACAACUACAAGGCAAAGUGAUGGUAGAUUCGUUGUCACUAUUCCAUUUAAAAAGUCACCUGAUUGUUUAGGUGACUCCUAUUUUCAAGCAAAAAGACGGUUUUAUUCCAUAGAAAACCGCAUGAAUUCAAAUCCCACAUACAAACAACAGUACUCAAACUUCAUAACAGAGUACAUACAACUAGGUCACAUGUCUUUAAACAAACACUCACAUCAAAAUACAUACAUUAAAUCAGAACAUAAUACAUCAAACCUACAGUCAGGUACCAUCACGAACACAAACACACAGCACUCACCAGUAUACUACCUUCCACAUCACGGUAUUGUACGCGAGACCAGCACCACUACAAAAUUCAGAGUAGUAUUUGAUGGUUCCGCAAAGACGUCCUCAAAACUAUCACUCAACGACAUUCAGUUAGUAGGACCUGUCGUCCAAGACGAUCUUGUUUCUAUACUCAUACGAUUUCGACAACAUAAGUAUAUAAUAUCAUCAGAUAUUGAGAAGAUGUUUCGCCAGGUGAUGCUGGUGGAGCAUCAGCGCCCAACACAACAAAUCAUAUGGCGAUACAAUCCUACGGAACCUCUGCAAGCAUAUACACUCAACACUGUCACAUAUGGCACGGCAUCGGCGCCGUAUUUAGCAACACGCUGCAUAAAACAAAUAGGCUUAGAUUGUAAAAACACACAGAAUCAUUCAGACAGCUAUGAUCACAAAAUUGUCUCCGAGGUCAUCUUGCAUGAUUUUUAUUGUGAUGAUCUUCUGACAGGAACCGAUGAUGAAUCAUUACUCUUUGAAAUCGCCAAGGGUGUCUUUCUAGAAUUAAAAAAAUAUCAAUUUCCACUUAGAAAAUGGCAGUCUAAUUGUCAAACUGUUCUACAACAUCUGGGUUUCAAUGAUUCAAAUGAUACAACAUUCAAUCUUAGCUCAAAUGAUCCAUCUAAAACACUAGGCAUUUAUUGGAACAUUAACAAAGACACAAUUUCAUACACAGUACAUUCAGAAUUUGUGUCACAAAAACAAAUCACAAAACGCACGAUCUUAUCCACCAUAGGUCAUAUUUUCGACCCACUAGGACUUAUUAGCCCUUGCAUACUCGAAGCUAAGUUAAUUAUGCAACAGAUGUGGACACACAACGUCAGCUGGGACGGUGAAAUACCGGUUUCAAUACAACAACAAUGGGCAAAGUUCGUGGAAUCGUUAUCUUUUAUAAAUCAUUUAUCUAUUCCUCGGCGAGCAUUUCAUGACUCAUCGCGCGAUUACAUUGAACUGCAUAUUUUUUGCGACGCCUCACAACAGGCGUACGGUGCAUGCGCAUAUAUACGUACUUAUACAUCAGAUGGCAGUAUCAGUGUUCAACUGUUAGUUGCCAAGGGACGAGUGGCUCCUUUAAAAGCACUUACCAUACCGCGACUUGAAUUAUGUGCCGCGUUUACCGGUGUUAAUUUAAGUAAUAAGAUAUUGAACUCCGUUCGCAACAAAAAUUGACCUGACUUUUUAAGGAAUGAUGAUAAACACAGCUGGCCUCAACAACCAGGGCAUCUCAGCGUAUCUGACCUUCCAGAAGUCCGGUCUCAAACACAUCUCACGCACAAACAUUUGCACCAACGAACGCGCUGGCAACGCUCACGCGGCGCGCUCACAGAGGGCUCAUUGGUCAUCGUGAAAGAUGAGGCGCUACCGGUGGCUCAGUGGCCAUUGGGACGUAUCGUGAAGCUGUAUCCGGGACAUGACGGAGAAGCUCGAGUGGCGGACAUCAAAGUAAAGACCGGGACAAUCAGACGGGCAUUUCAUAAAAUAUGCCCAUUACUGGAUGAACCAUCGGACUGAUCAUGAAAUAUCAUACAUCAUCAUCACCUGGGCUGGCCUUUCUCUGGUCGCCCGGGAAUAUGUUAACGCACACGUUAACACGCACAUACAAGACACACAUGCAUCUCAAGCAGAGGGGAGCGGGCGGCGUGGCGGUGCAGCGACGGCUCGCGCGCCCUCCAACCACACCUUACGACAACGCGAGCAAGAACGGACGCGAUUGCGAAUUUAAUUUGUGCUAAUAGCCUACUUAAGAAAAACUAUUAAACCAAGAAAUACA
rnacentral:misc_RNA from 1 species